CAGCCGCCGCGGUAAUACGUAGGUGGCAAGCGUUGUCCGGAAUUAUUGGGCGUAAAGGGCUCGCAGGCGGUUUCUUAAGUCUGAUGUGAAAGCCCCCGGCUCAACCGGGGAGGGUCAUUGGAAACUGGUUGACUUGAGUGCAGAAGAGGAGAGUGGAAUUCCAUGUGUAGCGGUGAAAUGCGUAGAUAUAUGGAGGAACACCAGUGGCGAAGGCGACUCUCUGGCCUGUAACUGACGCUGAGGCUCGAAAGCGUGGGUAGCAAACAGGAUUAGAUACCCCCGUAGUCCCUGUCUCUUAUAC
rnacentral:rRNA from 1 species